AUUGAACGCUGGCGGCAUGCCUAACACAUGCAAGUCGAGCGGAUGAAGGGAGCUGGCUCCUGGAUUCACCGACAGACGGGUGGGUAAUACCUAGUAAUCUGCCUGGUAAUAGGGGAUCCCGUCCCGAAACGGACGCUAAUACCACAUACGCCCAUAUGGAGAAAGUGGAGGUUCUUCGGACCUCACGCUAUCACAGGAGCCUUGGUCGGAGUAGCUAGGUGGUGGGGGAAAGGCCUACCAAGGCGACGAUCAGUAACGGGUCUGAGAGGAGGAUCAGACACACUGGAACUGAGACACGGUCCAGACUCCUACGGGAGGCAGCAGUGGGGAAUAUUGGACAAUGGGCGAAAGCCUGAGCCAGCCAUGCCGCGUGUGUGAAGAAGGUCUUCGGAUUGUAAAGAACUUUAAGUUGGGAGGAAGGGCAGUAAGUUAAUAACUUGCUGUUUUGACGUUACCAAAAGAAUAAGCACCGGCUAACUUCGUG
rnacentral:rRNA from 1 species